AAAACCAUAAGAAUAACGAAUAUUACCUAUGGGAGACCUGGUCUGGGAAGGCUCCCUGGAAGAGAAGACACAUGAACUGGAUUGCAGGUUCUGAAGGCUGGGAAGUCCAAGAUCAAGGGACUAGCAGAUCCAGUGCCUAAUGAGAGCCUGCUUCCUGCUCAGCCCCCAUGAACCUGAAAUGCUUUCUAUGUCAAAGUUAACAAAAGAGCUAUAGGCAAAGGAAAGUAAAAGGCCAGGGAAAUCAUUCAAACUGUAACAUCUUCAUUAUGCCCCUUUGGGCCUUUUAUUUCUGAAUUUCCCUUUGUGUUGUCAGUUUCUUGAAGGGCACAUACCUUCAUCCUUUGAAGAUUGAUUUGAUUUUUAGAGACAGCCAGAAGUAUUCCAAGACAAAUGUGUUGAAUGAAAUGGAUGAGAUACUUGGUCAGUAGACUAAGGCAUUGAUAGAAGGGAGGAAAAGGAAGCACAAGGGAAAGGAGAGAAAAAAAAGAAGGCAGCUGAGGAGUUGCCCUAGUAUAUGAGGCCAAAACGCACUGAAAAUAGUCAGGAGCUGAUAACAGGUGUUAUCACCUGCCCUU